AAAAGAGAUCUUCUGUUCUAAGUGGAAAACAGGGAUAACACUUCACGCUCACCAGAUGAGGCAAUGUUGUCGAAAUAAAUCAUAAACCAUUAUGACAA